CAGACGAUGCGUCAUGCAUAUCAAUAAGCGGAGGAAAAGAAACUAACAAGGAUUCCCCUAGUAACGGCGAGUGAAGCGGGAAGAGCUCAAAUUUGAAAUCUUAAAGGGUUUCCCUUUACGAAUUGUAGUUUAAAGAAGUGUUUUCUGUUGAGGUUUUGGUAAAAGUUCUUUGGAAUAGGACAUCAUAGAGGGUGAGAAUCCCGUAUUUGACCUUUACUUUCAACUUUGUGAUACACUUUCAAAGAGUCGGAUUGUUUGGGAAUGCAGUCCAAAAUGGGUGGUAAAUUUCAUCUAAAGCUAAAUAUUGGCGAGAGACCGAUAGCGAACAAGUACCGUGAGGGAAAGAUGAAAAGAACUUUGAAAAGAGAGUUAAACAGUACGUGAAAUUGUCAAAAGGGAAGCGUUUGACACCAGUGUUGUUUUUCUGAAAAUCAAUUAAAGAACUGUUUAUGCUAAGCUGUUUAGACUUUAUCAGCUAUCUGUUUAGUUUUGAGCUUUUCUUUAAUGCACUUUUCAGUUAACAAGUCAACAUCAAUUUCUUUUGCUGUAAAAAAGCUUGAGGAAGGUGGCUUGAGAUUCGUCUUAAGUGUUUAUAGCCUCUUGCCUAUGCAGUCGGAGAGAUUGAGGUCUGCAGCGUAGAUCCUUCGGGGCUAAAUGCAUUUGUGCUAAGUUAUAGCAUUUUAUAGACAACUUGUUGACUAUGAUUUGUCUUGUAGCUUACUCGCUUAUGUUAUUUUACCUACGCUUAGGAUGUUGAGCGCAUGUCUCUCUCU
rnacentral:rRNA from 1 species